rnacentral:rRNA from 1 species
AACGAACGCUGGCGGCAGGCUUAACACAUGCAAGUCGAACGGGUGUAGCAAUACAUCAGUGGCAGACGGGUGAGUAACACGUGGGAACCUUCCUAGGGGUACGGAACAACUCAGGGAAACUUGAGCUAAUACCGUAUACGUCCGUAAGGAGAAAGAUUCAUCGCCCCUAGACGGGCCCGCGUCGGAUUAGGUAGUUGGUGGGGUAACGGCCUACCAAGCCUACGAUCCGUAGCUGAUCUGAGAGGANGAUCAGCCACACUGGGACUGAGACACGGCCCAGACUCCUACGGGAGGCAGCAGUGGGGAAUCUUGGACAAUGGGCGCAAGCCUGAUCCAGCCAUGCCGCGUGAGUGAAGAAGGCCUUAGGGUUGUAAAGCUCUUUUACCAGGACGAUAAUGACGGUACCUGGAGAAUAAGCCCCGGCAAACUUCGUGCCAGCAGCCGCAGUAAU